rnacentral:lncRNA from 1 species
UAACAACAUCCAUCAUCAACUGUAAAUCACAAUCCUUCUCCUUCCCACCCGUGGUUACUUUGCGCACCCUAUCCCCUGCGACAUCCCGUCCGUUGCAUCUCCGGCUCCAUGCACCCUAUCCCCUGUGUUGGCACCUCGCCCGUCGCGUCUCCAUCUCCGUCUCCAGACCUUAGGCAUUUUUUUUUAAAAUUAUUUUUUAAAAAUAAUAUUUUACAGUGAAAUUGCUGGCCCA